AGCGAACGCUGGCGGCAGGCCUAACACAUGCAAGUCGAGCGCCCAGCAAUGGGAGCGGCAGACGGGUGAGUAACGCGUGGGGAUCUGCCCAAUGGUACGGAAUAACCCAGGGAAACUUGGAUUAAUACCGUAUGUGCCCUUCGGGGGAAAGAUUUAUCGCCAUUGGAUGAACCCGCGUCGGAUUAGCUAGUUGGUGAGGUAAAGGCUCACCAAGGCGACGAUCCGUAGCUGGUCUGAGAGGAUGAUCAGCCACACUGGGACUGAGACACGGCCCAGACUCCUACGGGAGGCAGCAGUGGGGAAUAUUGGACAAUGGGCGCAAGCCUGAUCCAGCCAUGCCGCGUGAGUGAUGAAGGCCUUAGGGUUGUAAAGCUCUUUCGCCGGUGAAGAUAAUGACGGUAACCGGAGAAGAAGCCCCGGCUAACUUCGUGCCAGCCGCCGCAGUAAGAC
rnacentral:rRNA from 1 species